AGAGGAAGUCAGACCUGCAAACACAAGGAGCAGAAUGAAUAUGAGACCUAAUAUAACCGGGUGAACAAAGGGUUUGACAAAAGUAUGUGUGGGAGGACGAAAGUAAAAUGGGCGUGGAAGUUUCAUACAGUUUCACUCCUGGUUCUCAAACCCUGUCAUUCAACAACUUAUACUGCACUGGGACUUUCACAGGAACAGGUCGACAGUGACAGGGCUGGUGUUUGGACCUUUUGUAACUUUCAACUGAUUUUUUUUUACAUUUAAAGGAAAAAGCUUCAUGUGGCAGGUGUCUCCUUAAAAUGGAUUACUGUUAAGGAGACAAGAAGACAAUACACCUGCCUUCCUUCUCACUGGGACUUUAAUAUACUCUGAGUAAAACACCGGACAAACCAAGGAGCUUCACCAAAGGAGUGUAUUAAGACUGAGGAGUGGAUUCAAAACAGUGACUCUAAAAUUUGAUCAGAUAUGUCUAACCCACCUCACACGACUGUUACAAAGGGUGAAGCAUUGCCACUGACCACCAUAGGGUCAGGUGACACCUGCAUUCAAAUAGUCAGCAGCCUUGGACAGCGUUCUGCGUGCUGCAGGAAUGACAAGUACCACAGGAGACUGGCAAUCGGCAGCAUCAUCUGCGGGAUCACUUGCAUCGGAAUCAACGCUCUGAUAAAUUCAGUCAAGGCUGAGACAGCAACAGAUCCAGAGUCAAUGGCCAAGUUUUCACAACGGGCAAGAAAAUUUGGCAUCAUCUCUAUUGUGGUGUGGGUUUCCCUUCUGGCCUUAAUCCCCGUGCUGAUGGCACUGUUCUCAUAUCUUGCCACUCUGAAAAACUGAUCAACUUUGAUAAACCUCUGCAGAAGGCAACUAACGAAGUGGCUCUUCAGAUUUUGGAUGUUUAUGGAGACGGACUGUGGACAGUACAAAGCUGCUUAUUAAUGACUAAAAACCCAUGAAGAUAUGAAGAAACUGGUAGUUACAUGAAACACUGCUUUAGCUUUUCCUGUGCUGCUUUCUCAGUUUACACUUUUUCUACUUCUUCUUAAAGCAUUUACAUUUUUUUAUACAAAGAACCACUCAAAAAAAUAGUAUUAAAAGUCUUAUAACUUUUACAUGUUUUCUUAUACGCUGUAAUAUUUAUUUAACAAUAUAUAAACAUAUGGACAGUUCUAAAUCUAAAUGACCAUAGAAAAUCCAGCAUUACCAAUAGUUUGAAACAUCACACAACAUGACACAUACACAUUAUAUAUUAAAGAUUACAGCGGUCAUUCCCCAGUAGUGACCCAAUCCUUAAUAUUUUUGCACCUUAAUUGCCAUGACAUAUUUAACAUACAAAUUUUUAGAUACUUGUAUAUACCACAAAAGUUAAUAAAUUAGUCAAUCUGUGAAUCUAAAACGUAGCAACUUGUCCAUGAAGGAUUGGGUCUGUACUGGAAAUGUAAUGGCACGGCAGUGAUCUUGGCAGUGCUUCAUCAGAACAUUAUGAGAUCCUUGUUGUGCCAACAUUCUCUUAUCAAUUACUGAAUUGUUACCAUAUUAUCUUUAUUAAUGUCAUGUAUCAAUUUGUAGUACUUUUAUACAAAUGUGUAACAUAAACAAUUUUUUAUAAUAAAAUGACAAAAAA